rnacentral:lncRNA from 1 species
CAAUGGAAAAUAAGUAUGUUCUUGCAAAUUCUGAGGCUUAAAUAUUAAGGUAUGUAAUUAUUUCUCUUGCUAAACCACGAAGAUACUCAAGACUUAAUCCACCUUCUUGUUUCUCUUUCGUAAGAUCGGUCAUUUGUGGCAAGUAUCAUAGCUAUCUCUAAGAUAGAUAAUACCAUCUGGAAUAAGUCCAGGGAGAGUUGAAAUAAGUGGAUCAAACCAUGAAUCAUAAGUGCUAAUUUCUAUCUCAUUCAUACAGUUGGCUUCAUGCACAGCUCUUACAUACCCGUUCAUCAAGUAAGUACCAACAGUAUGUGGAUGAGCUUUAAAACUGAAUAUCACAAUUUUGAUUUUGAAUAUGUUGCUAAACUUACUAUGAUUAUAAUUAUUAUUGUUCAAAAAAUCAGAAUGGGAUAAUCAGGUAACCAACAGAGUUGAUGCAAGAAAUGUAAAAUUACCUGCUCAUUCCUACCUUUUAACAACUCAUUAUCUGUUUGGUUCAGAUUCUUUAUGUUGCAAUAAGCACUUUGAAAAGACACAUCCAAACAUUCCUCAUUUCAAAUUUCUGUUAUAUAGUGUUCGAUAUUGACGUUGGAGGUUGCUUAGUUCGAAUUUGAAGCCACAUCCAACUUGAUUUUCCUUAACGAAAAAUCUACUUCAAUUGAUUGUUUUAGCAAUUUAUGAAGCUACCAUGAUGGUUUAGUUAGUGAAGUUAGAUGUUCUAGGGGGAUUGCAAAUAAUGAUUAAUUUUAAUGAAAUUUUGAUAGUAUAGUUUUUGUUUCUUUUAUGAGCUUAAUUUGAGUCUUUAUUGCUCUUUCAAAAUUUAUGCCACUGGAUAAUAUGGAUUACAAGCUAUUUACCUAUUUUAUGGGAUUAAGUUUCAUCAAAAAGAAACAUGAAGGAUGGACAAUAUAAGCCUUUAGUUAUGCUCUAGGAGAUUGGAAAAGGGCAACAGAGUUUUAGUUUUAAUUAAGUAAUUGCUUACGUAUUUGUGUUCAGGUGUUGGUUUUUUUGACACAAGUGAAACCCUCUAAGGCAAGGCUUAAAACUUAGCACCUCAAAUUUAAUUAUAUGUGUUUCUGUCUAAUUUUCAAAUUCCUUUUAAUGGGUGAUAAGUUUCAAAAAUUGCAAAAGUCACCCUUGAAGUUCAUUUUGUUGUGCAGGGGGUAUUAGCGGAAGAGGCUGAAAACAUUGCUUCAAAGUAUAACCGUGUUUUAUUGCAAAAGUUUGUUUCAUAUUGAUGGUGUUGUUGCUUCUGAAAUCUUUUGGCUGGUUAUAAUUAAAAAGCAUUAUAGCAAAUUGGGUAGACACGAAGAUUAGAAGGUAAAACUUGUAAAAGAUGGUCCUAGCAGAGCAUAUCUUACAUAUACACCACGAAAUGCCUACCAAACGGUUUAUAUCCAUCAGAUAUGUUCACCUAUGGUUGCUGAAAUCUUUAUCUUUAUUUUUUGGUAGUUUCAUUCUCACUGGCCUUAAUUGUGAUUGUGUGUACGAGACUUAGACUGCAUGUAUGAUUUUUCUAUUUUUUUAGGAUAAUCAAGAAUACAAUAACUUUUGGAAACAUUGAUUUCAUGACAACUAUAACAGUACCAGCCUAAUUUUAUUGGGGUUUUAAUCAAAACCUUAAUCA